AAGGAGGCCUGAUGAUAACCUCAGAGUAUGCUCGGAGAUAACCAGCCAGGAGAACAUGUACAUUGGAUGAUCUCUGCACUACAUGGCUUCUCUUGAUGCAGUAGGCUUUCUACCAAGCCAGGAGGCCCUGUGGCUUGAAAUGAUGGCUAACAACAUCUCUGUGUGCUUCUGAAAGGCCCGCGAAGUAGACCUUGCCUCCCAGUCCAUUUUCUUUCUCUCUUAGUUUAAUUCACAUUUGGGUUUAGACCAAGUCAUAAAGGAUUUAGUUCAAGAAAAACAUUUUUCAAAAUGAUGAAUGGAAUUAAUCUCGUAAAGGCUGGGGAAAAUAAUAUUUGCGUUUGAAACUCAAAAGUUUGAGGAGUCUGUGAAAGUCAAUGAAAGUGGCUCUGGUCCAACUCGACUGAGAACUUAGAACAAGUUGCUGCAGUGACUGUGGUCCAUGACCCAGAGUUGUGGCCUUCAAGACAGGUCUUCCUCCACCAAGCCCAUACUGUUUCACCCAAACCAACAGACCACAGUAAUAAGAGGACAGGCAUCACUUAACUCACUGGCAAGAAAGCCCAGCAUACUCUGAUUCAGAAGGAUCGUGUUGGCCAACAAGUUAAGGCUCUGUUGUUGAGCCAUAAAGUCAACUAUAACUCGUCAUCCUGAAUCCUUUGUGACUUGUACUCAUUCCAGUGAGUUGCGUCCAUUUGUUCUGGUCUCAGCCUACUUCUCAAAACAAUGAUACAAAGGCACAGAGUGGGGAAAAGGUAAAUCAAGGCACUUUGCUAAAUUUGGGGGUCUCCGCUAAGCUGAGAGGGAGAAGUUGACACAGUACCCCACCGCUAACAAAGAAUUGAUAUACACUGGCAAAGGGAAAACCUGUUUUCUCCAAAGGAGUCUCACUGGGUAUAUUAACCUCACUUCAGGGCAGGCCCCUUUCCCGGGAGUCAUUGGCCAACACGAAAUGAGUUUAAUUGUGUUCU
rnacentral:sRNA from 1 species